rnacentral:ribozyme from 1 species
UGCCCAGCAACUCCUAUCCCUACCUCCUCGUGGUACUGGCCGGAGUACGAGUAACCUUGGGGAAGAUCGGAAAACCAACCCCCGGUGGGAACUUUGGUCGUAUGCUGACAGGGAAGA